rnacentral:rRNA from 1 species
ACCAUAGUGGGUGACAGUCCCGCAUUCGAAAUCUCAACAGCGGUAAUAAGCGUACGAAAAGUAGGGCGGGGCACGUGAAAUCCUGUCUGAAUAUGGGGGGACCAUCCUCCAAGGCUAAAUACUCAUCAUCGACCGAUAGUGAACCAGUACCGUGAGGGAAAGGCGAAAAGAACCCCGGGAGGGGAGUGAAACAGAACCUGAAACCUGAUGCAUACAAACAGUGGGAGCGCCCUAGUGGUGUGACUGCGUACCUUUUGUAUAAUGGGUCAACGACUUACAUUCAGUAGCGAGCUUAACCGAAUAGGGGAGGCGUAGGGAAACCGAGUCUUAAUAGGGCGAUGAGUUGCUUGGUGUAGACCCUAACCCGAGUGAUCUAUCCAUGGCC